rnacentral:rRNA from 1 species
GAUGAACGCUGGCGGCGUGCCUAAUACAUGCAAGUCGAGCGAACAGAUAAGGAGCUUGCUUCUUUGACGUUAGCGGCGGACGGGUGAGUAACACGUGGGUAACCUACCUAUAAGACUGGAAUAACUCCGGGAAACCGGGGCUAAUGCCGGAUAACAUUUAGAACCGCAUGGUUCUAAAGUGAAAGAUGGUUUUGCUAUCACUUAUAGAUGGACCCGCGCCGUAUCAGCUAGUUGGUAAGGUAACGGCUUACCAAGGCAACGAUACGUAGCCGACCUGAGAGGGUGACCGGCCACACUGGAACGGGAACACGGUCCAGACUCCUACGGGAGGCAGCGUUAGGGAAUUUUCCGCAAUGGGCGAAAGCCUGACGGAGCAACGCCGCGUGAUCGAUGAGGGUCUCCGGAUCGUAAAACUCUGUUAUUAGGGAAAAACAAAUGUGUAAGUAACUGUGCACGUCUUGACGGUACCUAAUCAGAAAGCCACGGCUAACUACGUG